CGGCCGCCGUCCCAGGCCGUUUCCGCCGCCCGCGCGGGGCGCUCUGGGACUUGUAGUCCCAGGGCUCACGCCGUCCUCAGCCCGUCCGCGGCUCGGCGGCCAUUGGCUGGCGCGAGGCGUCGGGGCCGACGGGGCGGAAGGGGGGCGGCCUUGAGGCCCUCGCCGGCGCGAGAGAGGCCGUCACGUGAUGUUUGGGUGCCGGCUCCGCCCCCCCGUACCGCCCCUCCCUCCGAGAAAGCACGGAACGCGCCCGCGAGCCACCGAGGCCCAGCUCUGCAGGAAGGCGGCGGCCCUGCCUUCUGUGAGAAGAUGUCCUACGGAUCCAUCGCUGGCAGCGGCGGCCUGGGGAGCCACGGCCCUUUUGGGGGGCCCUCCACACAAGGCUAUCAGCCCCUAGAGUGCGCUAAAUGUUGGACUGAGUACGGAAUUCGUCAUUUCCCCUGCCCGUCGCCAGAGAGCAGCCUGCAGGACCCCUGUGUGGGCAAGGACGGGGAAGGUGAUCUGGGGCCGGCCGGUACACCCAGAGGCCCAAGGGCCAGGAAGCGAGGGCCAGGGGUCGCCACGGACGGCAGCAGGACACCGGAGCGCACCUCGCCGCCUGCCGGCCCGAGGAAGGACUUAGCUGCAAGGGCCCAUGGCCGGGUGGCGGGGCCCAGGGCCUCCCGGGCCAAGAAGAGGAAGCCCAACUUCUGUCCGCAGGAGACGGAGGUGCUGGUGGCCAAGGUCAGCAAGCACCACCAGCUGCUGUUUGGCACCGGGCUGCUGAGGGCCGAGCCCACCCGGAGGUACCGCGUGUGGAGCCGCAUCCUGCAGGCCGUGAAUGCACUGGGCUACUGCCGCCGCGACAUCGUGGACCUCAAGCACAAGUGGCGGGACCUGCGUGCCGUCGUGCGGCGCAAGCUGGGCGACCUGCGUGGAGUGGCCCCUGGCCCCAGCCCUGCCAAGGCCCAGGCCCUGGCCCUCACGCCUGUGGAGCAGGUCGUGGCCAAGACCUUCUCCUGCCAGGCUCUGCCCUCUGAGGGCCUCAGCCCCGAGCUGCCCAGAGCCACCGAGAUGGACCUGAGUGACCUCCAGGAACUGUUCCAGGAGACGUCGGCCAGCGUCUUCCGAAUCAACUCCAAUGUGGCCUUCUUGGAGCAGAGCCUCCGGUCCCUGGGGACGCCAAGUGGCACGCAGGAGCUGCGGGACAGCCUGCACACGGUGCAGCAGCAGACCAACCACGCGAUCGCAGCCAGCGCCAGUGCCCUGAAGCAGAUGGCUGAGCUCCUGCGGGGCUGCUCCCGGCAGGAGCGUCUUCAGCUGGACCGUCUGAAAACUCAGCUUUCAGACGCCAUCCAGAGCUAUGGAGUGGUGCAAAAGAAAAUUGCAGAAAAGUCCAGAGCACUGCUUCCCACAGCACAGAGGGUUGGCAAGCAGCAGAGUCCCCAGGCCCCAUUUGCCGAGCUGUCCGAGGACGAGAAGAUUUUUAACGGGGGCGACGGCGUGUGGCAGGCCCAGGGGCAGGCGCUGCUUCCGGAGAUCACCGAGGAGGACCUGGAGGCCAUCCGGCUGCGUGAGGAGGCCAUCCUGCAGAUCGAGAGUGACCUAUUGGAUGUGAACCAGAUCAUCAAAGACUUGGCCUCCAUGGUGUCAGAGCAAGGAGAGGCCAUCGGGUCCAGCAGCGGCAAGGCCGCGUGCCGGCGCAGCUCCAGCCCCGAGCCGGCCGUGGUGGCCCCGCUGCCCGGGCCGGGCUGUGCGCCCCUGCGGCCGGGCUCCCACUCACGCACCAAGACGCGGAAGCCCAACUUCAGCCCGCAGGAGACCGAGGUGCUGGUGCAGAGGGUGACGCGCCACUACCCGCUGCUGUUCGGGGCUCUGCGGGGCCCACCCGCCCGGAAGCACCGCGUGUGGAGCCGCAUCCUGCAGGCGGUGAACGCGCUGGGCUACUGCCGCCGGGACCUGGGCGACGUCAAGCACAAGUGGCGGGACCUGCGAGGGGUGGUGCGCAGGAAGCUGGCCGAGCGCCCCCGGGCCCCCGGCCCUGUCCUCACGCCCGUCGAGCGCAUGGUGGCUGAGACCUUCGCGGCCCCCGGCCCCGCUGGCGAGGGCCAGCCCGCCGAGGCCCUGCCGAAUAGCACUGAAGCCGGCCUGAGGCUGCGUCCUCGCACUCACAGGCGCCAGUGAGCUCCUGGCUGGAGCCAGCCGGCACCAAGCUUCCCGUCCCUCAGGGAGCCCAGUGGGCAGAGCACACGCGGGACGGGAGGCCGCUGGACUCCACGAGAGUGCGUCGUGGGGUGGAGGCUGGCCCCACUGCCGGCCUCCCUUUUCUCUGUCAGUGGCCACUAGACGCCUAAGUCAGGGCGACAAGCGUAGGCCACACAUGACAGCUGGAGAACGCCGCGCCAAGCGGGGGCGACGGCAUGUAUCUGCAGGACGGGGCGGAGGCAGGGCUGGAGGUCGUGUCUGCUGGUGCCAACUUGGGGCUCUCUGCCCCAGCCACGAGCCCCAACCUUUCAGCAUGCCGAGGGCAGCCAGACCUGCACCCGGACCUCUCCACCUGGCUGGGUCCUUCCAGGGCCUCCCAGAAUAGAAGGCGCGGACUGCAAUUGACAAGCGAGGCGGACUUGUCGGAAGCCCACGGCCCGGCCUCUCCAACGGGAACUCUCCGAGCGGGCCAGUGCCUGCCGCGGGCCUUCAGCCCCAGGAAGCCUCCUCGCGGGAGGGAAGCAGCACGCCGGCAGGGUGGCUCCGCCCGUGAGCCUCCGGGCUCAGAAGGGUCAGCAAGUGCCUGGACCGCAGAUGCCUGGAGCCCAGAAGGAGGAAGUGACAGUGAGGAGGAGGAGGAAAAGGAAGAGCAGGAGGCGGACGGGCGGCCACUGUGCCCGCGGACACACCAGGCUCAGAACCCCCCCUGGCGCCGGGGAGCGCGUGCGCCCAGGCCUCUGCGGUGGUGCUGUCAUCGCCCCUUUGCCAUCGCAAAGCAGGACCCCCUGUGCCAUAGGUGAGACUAGGGAUUUGAGACCCAGAGGAGAGAAGGGUUUUCCCAAGGUCACACGGCUGUCAAGAGGAAGAGCUGAUUUUGGAGCCCAGUUUGUAGGAUUCCAGGUCUUGGCUUUUCCUGCGACCCUGGGGUAGCUCUGCUUUUAUAUACAGCUGUUCAUCUUUAUGGGAUGUCCGCUUGGUGGAUGGAUGGACGGACAGACGGAUGGGUAGAGGGAUGGAGGGACUGAAGGAUUGGAAGGGUGUAUACACAAGUUGGUGGAUGGAUAGAGGCGUGGGUGGAUGGAUGAUGGAUGGAUGGAUGGAUGAUGGAUGGGUGCUUUGAGGAUGGAUGGCUGAGAGAUGAACAAAUGGAUGGAUGGAUGGAUGUAAGGAAGAAAGAUGAAAGGAAGGAAGGAGGUGGACAGAUGGAGGGACGGGUGGAUGCUUGAUGAGCAAACAGAUGGGCAGAUAGAUGAGGGGACGGAUGAGUGGGUGGAUAUGUGUAGGUAGACAGAUGGGCAGACAGGAGGGUGGGUAGAUAAUGGCCAGCUUGGGUGGGUGGGUGGAUGGACAGACAGAUGGCAGCAUGGUGGUGGCACCUUGGCUUUGGAGCUGCCAGGUUGAAGUUUUACCUUGAUGUUACUGGAGGACGUCUUUCGCCCUCUGAGUCUUGGUGUCCUAGUGAGGGCGCUGCUGCCCACUGCAGAGGGGCCCCGCGAGACCUAAAUAGCUGUGUGGGCAGAGGGCCUCGUGCAGGUGGUGCUCCCUGGCAUUGCCCCGGUCCUGGCUGGCGAAGGCUCACGUUUCCUGUCUCCCUCUGCCAGCCGACGAGGACGAGGCCCCCGGCUGCCUGUGGCUACCCCUGCGGACGCUGGAUGGGCCGAGCCUGCCUGAAGCCGACCCCCUGGACCCCCGAGGAGCCUUCCCUGCGUCCCCCUCC